CACCUCAGUGAAAUGAUCAUAAGUUUGACGCCUAACGAGCUAGGUGGAGGCUUGGGAAAGGAAGCGGGUCAAACAAAUCAAGAAUGGAGGAAAAACACAAUUCGGAUGCAAAGUACACUAUGGGAUGCCGGAAGACGAUCAAGCUCAACGAAGAACCGAACACGAUA